UUGAGACGUUCAACCGGUAGAAAAUAUAUAUAUGUAUGUAAUGUAUUUUGUUCGGAAGGUUCGAGUUAAACGGAAAGUUAGUUUUACGCGAUGCGAAUGAAAUUUAUUUUAUUCCAACCGAGGCUACAGGUGUAUUUCGAAACAAAUGCGAAGUUAGUUUACGUUACAGAAUGCACACUGGGAACAGACGAAGGUACACACGGCGGUUUUAUUGAAAUUUUGUAACGAAUAAUCUGCGGCGACAAAUCACGGACUGGUGAGAUGGCGCCACUCCUCUACGAGUUUCCCGUGAAUCCCAGAUAGAAAAACGGGAACUAGGUUUUUCCCAGAGUGGAAUUCUGGGUAUUGUUGCUUCUUCUUCUUGUCGGGUGAUCGCUGCCAUGAGCACGUGUAGCUCUCUCUUAAGUGUACUCGAGGAUUGUUGUAAAUAAAUGUUGUUUUAGUUUAAAACGUGGUCGUGGACUUAACUAAUUCACGUUUACAACCUUCUGAUAAAGACAGUCUUGGUGGAGAUGUAAAUGGAUGGAGAAAGACGGCCAGGUUUCGUCUAACUGACGGCGGCCAUCCAUUACCUCCAAAUCUGUAUCAGAAAUAAUUCGGCGAAUCGAACGAGAAGACGGGCCAGAGUGGGCGGCAAGGGCCAAAGUACCUUACUUUAGUAUAUAAAAAAUUUACUUCGCACGCAACAGACUAUUUCGUACUUCGAAAUAUAAUCGAAUUUUGUCGUUAAAUUUUAAUACGUCGUUCUGUCCGAAGGCCAUAUUAAACGUUUACGUCGGGACUUUCUACGAAUAUAUUAAACGCGUACGAAAGACGCGUUAAUAUUUAAUAAUUCCCAGACGAGAAAUCGAAGAACGCAUGAAUCAGCAUUUGCUUUUUCUUUUAUUUUUACUAUUUUUCUUGAGAAGUUUGAGAUAUUUUUAGGCUAUUUUUCGGUACGGAUUGCGACGUGGCCGGAUGGUAAUCGAGCAAUUCGAUAAUUCCCCCGACGCCAUUGCGAGUGGCGGGACGAUUUAAAUCGAUUGCGGUGUUUAAAAGUGAAGAAUUGUGUGGCGAGUGGGGACGGAGCGUGAAAUUCUAAGUAAAUUUCGGCAAAAGAAGCGAAAUAACAAGAAGUGGAUUAUACCGUUAUUUUUCGUCCAGGAGCGGCGUUAAUUACUGGUAAAACGAAGCCGAUUCGAGCUGCCAGAUCUUUCGACGAGAGUUCUACGUUUUAUUUUUUUUACCUGCUUUACUGGAUUUUAUUAGAUGAUUUUACUGUUCAACAAAGUUUUUACUAAUUUUAUUUGGUGUCUACAAGUGUUUUAUGCCUUUCUGGUGAGUUUACUUUUUAACUGUUUUAGUGUCUUUAACCUCUGCUGAGCCGAUGUUGUCGGCUAUGGACUGUUGAACGGGAAGCUCUCUCCAUCGACGAGUCAAUCCCAGGCUGCUUGGGACUUCUAGUUGGGACUAAUGCAUUUUGUCCUAUCCACAAUGAGGCCACUCAGGUUAGCUUUUCUCAACUGACUCCUGGAAGCUUUUCAGAGUUCGACAUCCCGAUGACAGCACCUAAAAAGGACAAUGAAACAUUGCUGGAUGAGAGGGAUUGUGUCAAGAAGCUGUGAGCAGUCAGCUGUGAGGUCAGUCAGGAUAGUGUCCAAGGAACGACUGGAAGUGAUGGAACUUAUUAAGACAGUAGAUGAAGCACUUGGAAGACCAGAAAGGGUUGAGCAAGUUUGUUAUUGUCCAAGAAACAUUGUUGAAAUUGUCAUCCACUGAUUUUAACCCAAAGUGAAUCUUGUAGGACAUGAUGUAAAGAAAAAUAACUUAUCAGGAAACACUCUUGCUUUUCGAUGCGCCACUCUGCGAUGAACUCAAGCUUAAGCAAUGGCGUCGUCGAACGGUGCGCACUUGGCCAAAAGCAUCAAGAAACUUCCAUAAAACUUCCAGAUUUGACUGUGUCGAAAGCUUUUUUGCAAUCUACAGAAAGGAUGGAUAAUGGAAUAUGCCAUUUCACAUACACCCAUGUAUGGCUUUGGCUGGGACAAACCUAGGAACUGAAGAACCAAUGAAGGAGACAUCAUUGGAGGAGGAGCCUGAGAAGAUUAGAGAAUACUCGACGAUAUGAUUGAUGAGAAUACUUUGCAAGGAACAUAUUGAUACAGCUGAACUCAUAAGAUCCUGUGAGGAAAAGUUGGGAACACAAAGAAGCAUUCAGCAGUUCUGCUAUCACCCAAGAGAGAUAGUAGAGAUUGAAUUGGCACAUGUAAAGGAAAAAGAAAGACUAAUUGGACAAGAAAUAGAGAUUGGAAAAAAUAAAUAUAAUAGCUUAGAAUUGGAUAUUUAAGAAUAUGGGCAAAUGUGGAAGUUCUCCCAACUGAAUAGAGGGAUCUAUGUGGAAGAUUGAACAACAUUGUGAUGACUAAAAGCUAUAUCUAUACCUAUCAUCGCUGUUGCGAUACCCUGUGCUCCUUAGAUGAGACAAUUAUAUGAACAUGUGUUCUUUGAAUGUCAUGUAGCCUGUCAGGUAUGGGUAAAUAGAAUCUGGAAAAUAUCACUUACCUGAAAAAUGUAUAAUACCACAUUAAUUAUCCUUAAUUAUCCCAUUAGAAACCAAAACAAAUACGUGCUAAACUGGAUGAUUGGUUUAGUUAAAGGGAUUAUAUGGAAAGCAAGGCGUAUACUCACAUUGAAAAAGAAACUAUGGAAUGGAACACUGAUAGUUAACAAAAUUCAUGAAGUGGCGAUGUUAAAAAUAAACACUGAUUGUCAAAAACUGACUGUAACAGAGCAAAAUAGACAAUACUUCGGUACUAAAAACAUAAUAUGGAAGAAAAGUACUGAUAAAAUUAUGUUUAAUGAUCAUAUCCAACAUUUUGUUAUCUUAAAAUGUCUUAACUGGCAUAUACAUUUUGUGUUUUAUUUCCACCAUUUUGAUCAUUGUUGGGUUUGUAUUAUCUAUGUAUCAAGGUAAACAGAAAUUGUGACAUGUGUCAGGUAUUUUUUUGUACUCUAAUCCCUUAAGAAAGUGGGGUGAGGUUCUGCCAGCUAGAGCGGAGGAACUUACGCAUUCCUUUUUGUAUGGGGGUGUCAGCAGUACUGACCAGUGUGUGUCUGGUGAAGAAUUAGUGCCAUGCUUUUUGAAUUGUUAGGUGCCAGAGUGUUGCUCACAGUGUGUAAAAAAGUAAAAUUCCUUUUUAUUUGUUGUGUUAUGAAGUAGUUGUGUACUAUUUAUAUUAAUAAACAAACACACCUGAUUUGUAUUUGCCA